rnacentral:rRNA from 1 species
UACCAGCACCCCGAGUGGUCGGGACGAUUAUUGGGCCUAAAGCAUCCGUAGCCGGUUCUGCAAGUCCCCCGUUAAAUCCAGCUGCUCAACAGAUGGGCCGCGGAGGAUACUACAGAGCUAGGAGGCAGGAGAGGCAAGCGGUACUCAGUGGGUAGGGGUAAAAUCCGUUGAUCCAUUGAAGACCGCCAGUGGCGAAGGCGGCUUGCCAGAAUGCGCUCGACGGUGAGGGAUGAAAGCUGGGGGAGCAAACCGG